UACGUAGGUGACAAGCGUUGUCCGGAUUUACUGGGCGUAAAGAGCGCGCAGGCGGUCGUUCAAGUCGAGUGUGAAAGCCCCCGGCUCAACUGGGGAGGGUCAUUCGAUACUGAUCGACUCGAAGGCAGGAGAGGGAAGUGGAAUUCCCGGUGUAGUGGUGAAAUGCGUAGAUAUCGGGAGGAACACCUAUGGCGAAGGCAGCUCGCUGGGACGUUACUGACGCUGAGACGCGAAAGCGUGGGGAGCAAACAGG
rnacentral:rRNA from 1 species